rnacentral:rRNA from 1 species
UACGUAGGUGGCAAGCGUUGUCCGGAUUUAUUGGGUUUAAAGGGUGCGUAGGCGGCCAAUUAAGUCAGUGCUGAAAUACUCUAGCUUAACUAGAGGGGUGGCAUUGAUACUGAUUGGCUUGAGUGAAGUCGAGGUAGGCGGAAUUGACGGUGUAGCGGUGAAAUGCUUAGAUAUACGGAGGAACACCUGCGGCGAAGGCGGGUAGCUGGGCCAACACUGACGCUGAGACGCGAAAGCUAGGGGAGCAAACGGG